GGCAGAGAUCAUCUUGCUGCUGUUACAGAACAGUAUAUCCAAGCGUUCAGCAUUUAUCAUCAAAGCUUUUUGCAUAUAACUAUCUUCUACAAAAGACUUUGUAAAUAGGAAAAGGGGAAACACAGAGAUCCAGGCACCCUUUUAGCAAUGCUACGUCAAUUACAAAUACAAUGAUCACUAGGUUUGGGCUCAUUGGUGACACUUUUUCUUCCCUUCAAUUUGUGUUACAGCCUGAAAUCACAAAGCUGUGAUCCCCGAGAACCUCCUUUGUAAUGCAUAUCAACUUUCGUUGUGCCCCUUUGUUCCCAAUGUGACUGAGCAUUGUGCUGCCUGUGUCCAGGGAGCAGGUUUGCUUUAUUGUUCUUGUAAAUAUGUACUGCUGGGUGCAGCUCCGUGGAAGGCAUUGAGUUUGUGCAUGACUGACGCCGACCCGGACAACUGCUCUGACCCCCAGCAGAUGGUGGUGCAGGGACUGCAAUGAUCUGGAAGUAAUAGCAUGUGCCAUUUCUUUUUGUUUGGAACAGACAGCCAGACUCUGCGUUUCCCUCCCCUGCGCAGCAACAGCUGUAUAUACAGUAUAAACUGGCAAAAUCCUAACUGUCAUUCCAGUCUUCCUCCUCUGCCAUUAAUCAGAAAACCUUGGGUGCUGAGACUUCACGAGAUUAAGCACUACAUGAACACCACAUGGCUCUUCCCAAUGAUAAUAAAAUUGUGUGCAUUGGGGCAUAGAUCAGUUGCUUUCCUAGAGAAAAGUGAGUCAUAGUUAAAAAUAUCCACCCCCCACAAUAUUAGACUCAGUAGUGGUGGACUUGCUGUUUUUUAACCUCUACCCAGAAAAAGCCAGGGUACAGGAGUCAGCAUGAACUAAGAAUUUUAAUUUUCAGACUACAAAUAGCCUCUACUGCAGCUUUAGUAAGUUUCCAUUGUCAUUUGUAUUUGUUUUUAGCAGGGACCAAAAUAAGUGUGUGUUUUGAAAGGAAGGUAUAAAAUGGGUGAAAGUCCACAAGUGUUUUUUUUCUCCAAGGCCACGGGAGAUUCAUUGCUUCAGAAUGAUAGCAGAGCGGUUGGUAUUUGAUUUUCCUUCCAUUUUCGAAGGCGGCUAAUGAUUCUAAGAACCCAGCUGGAGGAACUCGGGUCAGCAUCUGCUUGGAAGAAGAGUGAAGCCCAACACUUGUUGAAAUCACUUCCUUCAAAGGCGCCUCCCAGCCAUGCUUCUCCAAAUCAUCUCUGAAGCGACAGGUCUGAUUCAGAACCCUUCCACCAACCUCAGCAGGGCUUAAAUCAAAAAGUCAAACUGCCAAUUUGCACAGCAGACACAAGAUUUUAAAUGGUGCAAACUUUGUAUUUAAAUUUGGUUUUCCACCUCAGCUCUGGAAAUAUUUACAUUCAUUACAGACCAGAAAGUGGGGCUCUGCUCCCCAAAGUACUAGAUGUUUUCAGUUUCCAAUAAAGUCAACAAGGGUUGUUCACACUCUAUUAUGUGAAAUACAUACUUUUAGCCACAAGAAGAAAAUUCAGUGCAUGAACAAUACUAAAAAACCCUCUGUAGUUUUAUUAUCUUUCAUUCCACUGGCUACACAGAUAAUUUGAGGCUAUUGUUUUUGAUUUGACUAGUAUUCCUAGCCUUUUGAAUACACAUUGUUUAUAAUCAAAAAGAAAAAAGAAUUUCAAUGGUUGUUUGUAUUAUAAUAUACCUCUGUCAGUGAUGGAAAGGACUAUAAUGGUUUCUGUAAUUAUUAAUUCUUCAAAAUAAUAUACCUGCUCCAGUAUCCAAUUAAUCUGGUUAUUAAUCAAAAUGCCUUCUUUGUAAAAUAUUAAAAGAGUCUAGACACCGAA